UGAGAGGUAGAGGCAUGAGGACCAGCCUGGGCUACAGUGCAUGAGAGGUAGAUUGAGAGGUAGAGGCAUGAGGACCAGCCUGGGCUACAGUGCAUGAGAGGUAGAGGCAUGAGGACCAGCCUGGGCUACAGUGCAUGAGAGGUAGAGGCAUGAGGACCAGCCUGGGCUACAGUGCAUGAGAGGAAGAUUGAGAGGUAAGAGGCAUGAGGGCCAGCCUGGGCUACAGUGCAUGAGUGGUAGAGGCACCAGGACCAGCCUGGGCUACUCGAGGAGAUUGACUCUUCAUGAGAAGGAAUUUCCAUUCCUUAAAAUUGA